rnacentral:lncRNA from 1 species
ACGAUAUUUUCCUGAGCAAUCUGCAGGCCUUGCAGCCACCUCAAAAUCUCCAGAAACUCCAUGAUGUGACUUCGCUUAAUUUUAUUAAGUCUCCACCCAUGAAAUAUUUACGAGAUGGAGCCCACCUCCCAAGGACGGACUGAGAAAAGCUUUAGCUAUGUCGUCAGAGUCCCCAGCAGCGACGGGUUUGAUGCUGUGAAUGUCGAUGUGAAGAUAGACACGUGCUGGAUGUUCCAGGACGAGGAGGGCAGCGGUGAGGAGCAGGGUUGUCUUGCGGAGGAAGCAUCUGGCAGCCCAGAUGUGGACACCACUGGGCUCAGGAAACAGCUGGAGUCCUCAGAGCCAAAGCUGUCGGCAGCAGUGGACCAGCGAGUCUUGUUGGAGUCCGAGCUGAGGAGCAGGAUCCGGGAGCUGGAGCUGGCUGAGAGGAAGCUGCUGCGGAGGGUAGAGGCGCUGAGCGCCCGUGUGGCCCAGGAGCGCAGUGCGGCGCUCCGUGCCCAUGAACAGCGGCGGGCGCUGCAGGCGGAGCUGGCCAGCCGGGUACGUGUCCCGCGUCCCUCUCUUCCCGGGUUCGCUCCUGUCCCGGCUGUGCAGCCGCAUCUGCCUGCUGGCCUUGCAGGCCCUGAGACGGUGGAUGGCAGAGCACCCAGCGGCCAUGGGCCCUUCUCACAGGCUGUGUCCUGCCUCUGGGCCCAAGGACAGGAGAUGCUGACGCUGGCCUCAGCAAUGACAGGAACAAAAAACUCUAAAAGUGGGGGCCGGCGAGCCAGGCGUGUUGACACACACCUGUAGUCCCAGUUCUUGGGAGGCCGAGGCAGGAGGAUUACCGUGAGUUAAGUCCAGCCUGGCUACAUAGUGAGACUCCAUCUCAAAAAACCAAAACCAACCCAAACACAAAACAACCCAGAGCUGGGGGCAGGGAGGGGGUGUGGGCACCUUGCCCAGCAUGCUGGGGCCAGAGGGAGGGAAGCUACGGAGAACCAGGCUAUGUCGGGAAGGGCCUGCAGGGUGUGGGCAGGAGGUGCACCAAGGCUCCCUGGCGGGGAUGGAAGGAGCCGACAGGGCGGAGUGUGGGUGUGUGCAGGGGAGCGGGCUCUGGGGACGGGAGUGGGGAUGCUCGGUCAGGCGGUCAUUUUAACUGCGCCGGGGAAAGUGAGGGCGGAGAGCAGGGUGCAGACUGGAGGGCUCCAUGGAGAAGCAGGGUGGGCGGCUCCGGAGCUAAACCCGGCUCUGCCACCAAACCAGCUGAGCGACCUUGGGCAAGUGGCUUCACCUCUCUGGGCCCCAGUUUCUCAUCUGUGAAGUGGGGAUGACACGCGCCAGCCCCUCAUGUUGUUGCAUGGGUUGGGUCAGUGCGUGUAAAGCACUGGCAUGGCAGGCAUUUAAAAAGCACGGCUUGCUUUUACUGUCGAAUUCUUGGCCAUCACUGAAGUCCUCCGGGAGAGUUGAGGGGGCAGAGGACAGGCCACUUUUGGGAAGUUUUGCAGAGGUGGGGAGGACCAGGCUUAGGGUGCUCUGGUGCCCAGGGCGCCCCCAGACUUACCCGGUGUAGCUGAUGGCUCUCUGGAGCGCAGCCCACAGUGCUGCACCCGCAGAUGGGCUGUAGGAUGGGUUCUGUGGGCCAUGACCAGCAUUUGUCCCUGAAAUGGACCACGAAACAUGACAGGCGCAGUGCAUGCUGGGAGUGCUGCUUCAAGAAACUUGGGUUUCCUUUGGUCACGCUCGAGCAUGGAUAACACAAUGAGGCGUGAUGGUCAGGUGUGGCGCUGGCCACGGGAAGCCAUCGAGGACACUGGAAAAGCACAGGGAUGGCCGGCAGCGGCAGUUUGGAGGGCAGGAGGUGGGAGUCGGGGCUCGCCGAGUCCUCGGCUGCCAGGGACGUCCAGCCGGAUGUCCCCGUGCACCCCCUCAGUGUAGAGUCCAGCCUGUUCCCUCCUUGGCUCCGUGGCUCUUCCCGUCCAUCCCGAGGGACAUUUUACACGGAGGGCACUGUGACAAAGGGUUCGCAGCUGUGCCCUCUGCCUGUGGGUUUCCAAGGCGACGCCGGCCCAGCCCUGCUAUAGAGAUGUUCCCAGUGGGGUGGAGACGGGGCAGUCCUCAAGGCAGCUGUGGGCGGCCAGGCCAGCUGAGCCUGCCUGGGCGGCAUCGACUCUGGGGGCUCUGGGAGUGGAGUUUGCAGACUGGUGUGGGUGUACCGGCACUGGGCGACUCUGCGGCUCUCCUGCCCCUCCACCCCGUGAGUUCCCGUCCAAGGACCCAAGGAGCCCAUGGUGGUGCAGGGCCAGGACUAGGACGGGGUAAAGGGGGCUCUUGGCUCCUGGGCAAAAUGUUAGCGAGAACCAAAGACCUCAGUCAUCGAAAUGUGGUACUGUUUUGGGGCAAAAAUAGAACGCAAAAACCCGCACCAUGCGCAGCCGUGGAAAUGUAGGGUAAAGCUAGGAUCAGGUGAGCGAUCGCGCGCCCUGGGGGCGUCCUGACCCGGGUCCCCGCCAACUUGUAGGUCCGGGAAGAGGAGCUCACGGCCCAGCGGCAGCGGGAGCAGCUGCGGCGGUGGCGG